GAAAGUGGAGAAAAGAUGAAAGAUAUAAUCUUUUCUCAAACACCAAACCGUGAGUACUUCUUCUUCUCCCCCCAACUUCCAUCCAACUUUUCUUUUAAUUUCCUUCAUGUCCUUCCACCAUUGUUGAACUAUCUAAGCUUCAAAUCUUCAUUUUUUUUUUUUGAAAUUUCCUUAUUUUUCUUUGAAAUUUCCUUAGUAAAAAUCAAAGAGAAGGCUAGUGAACAACUUUAUUUCAUGAGAAGAUUUCCAUAGAUGGGUUAAAAGAGAGAAAAACAUAAGUUAGAUUUUUGGGUGUUCAAAGAGCUAAGAGAAAGAAAAGAAGGGAGAGGAUAAAAUUAAGGGUACGUUUGGUUCACUGGAAUGGAAUAAGGCUGUAAUAGAAUAGAGCUGUAAUGGAAUAAAGCUGUAAUGGAAUAGAGCUGUAAUUAGUAAUUCAAUUGUUUGGUUGAAUGUAAUGGAAUAGAACUGUAAUAGUAUUAUUGUGUUUGGUUGAA